UAUCACAUCCAUUCAGUAGCUUUCAUGACUCAGCCUCAGUUAAAUUCUGAAAGGUGUGAAGAACCCAUAUAACUGCUACUCAACCUCUGGAAACCGACAACUCAACAAGAAGCCACAAAACAUUAAAAACAUAAUUACUUUACAUCCAGGAAAGUAGUAUAGUAAAUUCAUAGGUCUGACCUGAAAAUUCAUGCAAACACAUUGCAUUUUUUAUAUGCUGUUGACUAUUCAUAUUUCUGUGGUGAUAACAUCAAUAAUUUAUUACAUUCUAUAAACUCACUCGCAAGAAAUUGCAAUCGAAAAUGUGUAAACAAAACUUAACUUUGGGAGAUGUUCCUAUCUUAUAUACAUGGCUGUAAAUCUCCCAAUUCCUGUCGUGUUUCUUUGUACAUGGGAACAUCAUUUUGGUGGUGGCAAUGCCCGUGGAUGUGAUUCCACCAGUAUGGACCAAAGAACAUGCACGUCUUCAUAGGGGCAGGACUUGACAUCCUCGUACAGUAUAUAUAUCCCUCUACCUGAAAAAUCAAUCGUGAAAAUUUAGUGAGUUAGCUAGAUAAAUGCCCUCUAGUAAACCCUGGAAAUGCA
rnacentral:lncRNA from 1 species